CCGCCCCGCCCCCUGGCGGGAAGCGCCUAGGCCCACACUCUGCCCCAGGAGAGCACUUCGAGGUUGGGUCAAGUUCGUGCGCGGCUCGGAGCGCUGUUUUCCUCAGAUUUCGGGGUGUCCUGCUUUCUCUGCCCUCAGCCUCCGUCCGGCUGCCGCCGGAGAAACUCUACCCUCAACUUGGGGCUUGAACCCACAACCUCAAGAUCAAAAGUCGCAUGCUCUAUGGACUGGGCCAGAAGCUUCGGCACGAUCACACUUGAGGGGAAAGAGCCACUAACCCAGCCUGAGUCCGUCUCCUCCCUCUUCAUUACUCGAAGCCGAACUAGGAGUCCGCCUCCAGGGUCUCCGCGGCUCCUCGCCCCCAGGCAGAAGACACGUGGCUCUGAAAACAGCCACAGAAAAACCUCAAGUCCUAGCUCCGUCCUGUCACCCCGUCACCCGCCACGGAGAAGGCGAAUGCCCACGACACGGUCACCAUAUGCCAGCGCCCUCGGGCCCGGCUGUGUCUCAGCUCUUAGAACCAGGAAGUCCGCUGCUCAGGCAAACACUGAGUUGCCAAGGCGACUGGCAUCCCUCUCAAGGGUCAGCCUGGAGGCUAGAGAGGCAACAGUGCCCCCUGUCGCCUUGGAGACUUCCCGGUUGUGAUGAUGGAAGUCUGUGGCUGGACGAGAAAUGUCCUCACUUCCCUGCACAGGAGCAAUGACACCUGAAGGCAGGAAGUAUGGCGAUGGCGGGCGGCGUCAUUUUUUUAAAGAUGAAAACAAUGCUGCUGUUGGCAACACCUUUGAAAAUGUACUUUGAAUUAUAACACUAAUUUGCUUCUCUCA